rnacentral:rRNA from 1 species
UACAUAGGGAGCAAGCGUUAUCUGGAAUGAUUGGGCGUAAAGCGUCUGUAGGUGGUUCAAAAAGUCUACUGUCAAGUACGUUGGCUCAACCAACGGCAGGCAUUAGAGUACUAUUGAACUAGAGUGUGGUAGAGGUAGAGGGAAUCCCUAGCGUAACAGUGAAAUGUGUAGAUUUUAGGGAGAACACCAGCGGCGAAGGCGCUCUACUGGGCCAUUACUGACACUGAGAGACGAAAGCUAAGGGAGCGAAAGGG